rnacentral:rRNA from 1 species
UACAGAGGUCUCGAGCGUUAGGCGGAAUCACUGGGCUUAAAGCGUGUGUAGGCGGACUGGUAAGUACCUUGUGAAAUCCCACGGCUCAACCGUGGAACUGCUGGGUAUACUGCUUGUCUUGUGCAACCUAGGGGCGAGCGGAGCAGAUGGUGGAGCGGUGAAAUGCGUAGAUAUCAUCUGGAACGCCAAUGGUGAAAACAGCUCGCUGGGGGUUUGCAGACGCUGAGACACGAAAGCCAGGGGAGCGAACGGG